GACAGAGGUUGCAAACGUUGUUCGGAAUUACUGGGCGUAAAGGGCUCGUAGGCGGCCAACUAAGUCAUACGUGAAAUCCCUCAGCUUAACUGGGGAACUGCGUGUGAUACUGGAUGGCUUGGAUUUGGGAGAGGGAUGCGGAAUUCCAGGUGUAGCGGUGAAAUGCGUAGAUAUCUGGAGGAACACCGGUGGCGAAGGCGGCAUCCUGGACCAAUAUUGACGCUGAGGAGCGAAAGCCAGGGGAGCAAACGGG
rnacentral:rRNA from 1 species